UGACAAUGCUUUCCCCUUCUGUCAUCUCCAUUGCUGCUUCCUUUUGGCGCUUCCCUGCACCUCUCCCACAUGGCCACUGGGUGGCAGUGUGGGAUGAUGCUGGAAUUUCAGGUGCACAGCAGGCAGUGAGUGCCAAGAGUAGGGGAGAGCUUGAGGCUCUCCAUCAGGUGCCUUCUGACCGCAUCCCUCCUCCUAGCUGUCCCUCUUGUUCCCAGGCUCUCUCCCACUCCUAGAUCAUCUUCAAUCCACUUUUCUAGGUGUACCUUGGCUCUGCAACACCGGAAGGUUGCCAAGAUGUCUCAGCCUCCUUCUCCAUUCUCUACCUUUUCCCUGUCCCUGCUUCAAAGAUAGGUCAGAGAGGCUGAGUGUCCCCAGAACCCUAGAUCCACGUUCCCCAGACAAGACCUGCUGCCUCCUUCCAUUCAGCAAGCACUUGUUAUCUGAUAACACCUCUAUCCUGUCUUUCAUAUGGCCCCCACUACCCCCUUCACAUUAUGGGGAGGGCAUUCCCAAGCUCUGAGUGGUAAUCAGGCCCUGUCCUUAGAGUCUCCUUUGGCAGAGGGUCUUGCUCCACUAAAUGUAAAGCCAGUUGCUAUCUUCUUGCCUUACCCCACCCCUUUCUUCAGCUCAGGCCUGUUUCCUCCCUGCGGGGCCUCAGAACUGAAGCUCCCCUGAGCUCCCUUAGCACAAC
rnacentral:lncRNA from 1 species